GGUGGAGGCUUGUAUUGAUACAGUUGAAAGGUGGAGGCUUGUAUUGAUACAGUUGAAAGGUGGAGGCUUGUAUUGAUACAGUUGAAAGGUGGAGGCUUGUAUUGAUAUAGUUGAAAUGCAGAGGCUUGUAUUGAUAUAGUUGAAAGGUGGAGGCUUGUAUUGAUACAGUUGAAAGGUGGAGGCUUGUAUUGAUACAGUUGAAAUGCAGAGGCUUGUAUUGAUAUAGUUGAAAGGUGGAGGCUUGUAUUGAUACAGUUGAAAUGUGGAGGCUUGUAUUGAUAUAGUUGAAAUGCAGAGGCUUGUAUUGAUAUAGUUGAAAGGUGGAGGCUUGUAUUGAUACCGUUGAAAGGCAGAGGCUUGUAUUGAUACAGUUGAAA
ensembl:lncRNA